CAACUUUCAGCAACGGAUCUCUUGGCUCUCGCAUCGAUGAAGAACGCAGCGAAAUGCGAUAAGUAAUGUGAAUUGCAGAAUUCAGUGAAUCAUCGAAUCUUUGAACGCACCUUGCGCCCUUUGGCUAUUCUGAAGGGCAUGCCUGUUUGAGUAUCG
rnacentral:rRNA from 1 species